rnacentral:tRNA from 1 species
GUUCCUGUGGCUCAGUUGGUAGAGCAUGGUGUGUGCAACGCCAGGGUUGUGGGUUUGAUUCCCAUGGGGGGCC